GUACACACCGCCCGUCGCUACUACCGAUCGGAUUUAUUAGUGAAUUUUAAAGACAAGCCUAGCUUAUUUAUAUAGGCAUGGUUUGAAAUUAAUGUGAACUGAUGAAUCUAGAGGAAGUAAAAGUCGUAACAAGGUUUCCGUAGGUGAACCUGCAGAAGGAUCA
rnacentral:rRNA from 1 species